AUUCUCUUGUCCUUCUGCAUUUAGCCGUGAAAAUCUUUCGCCUUUUACUAAAGAUUUCCGUGCUGGAGGGCACUCUUAUGAGUUUAAUGCAAUUUUUGGCUCCUCACCUUUGGUGAGGG
rnacentral:snRNA from 1 species